rnacentral:lncRNA from 1 species
UGAACCAUAAUAAUUUGGCCAGACGUUACAACCUUUAGCCUCUAGGUUACACUUUCUUCCCAACAGCCAUCCAAGUCCAAAACAUUGAAAUUUAGAUCCACUAUAGUCUAUAGCAUAGGAUUGACUGGUUCAAUGGCCAUGGCUAAUACCAUUAAAAAUACUUUUUUUUCUUUUCUUUUAAUGACCUAGGAACAGGCUAACAACGACGUUACUCCCACUCAAGUACAAUGCUUAUCUAUAUCUCUGUACAUGAGAUCCAACAGCUCCCAGCAGUA